rnacentral:rRNA from 1 species
AGUCGAACGAGUUCUGAUUAUUGAAAGGUGCUUGCAUCUUGAUUUAAUUUUGAACGAGUGGCGGACGGGUGAGUAACACGUGGGUAACCUGCCCUUAAGUGGGGGAUAACAUUUGGAAACAGAUGCUAAUACCGCAUAAAUCCAAGAACCGCAUGGUUCUUGGCUGAAAGAUGGCGUAAGCUAUCGCUUUUGGAUGGACCCGCGGCGUAUUAGCUAGUUGGUGAGGUAACGGCUCACCAAGGCAAUGAUACGUAGCCGAACUGAGAGGUUGAUCGGCCACAUUGGGACUGAGACACGGCCCAAACUCCUACGGGAGGCAGCAGUAGGGAAUCUUCCACAAUGGACGCAAGUCUGAUGGAGCAACGCCGCGUGAGUGAAGAAGGCUUUCGGGUCGUAAAACUCUGUUGUUGGAGAAGAAUGGUCGGCAGAGUAACUGUUGUCGGCGUGACGGUAUCCAACCAGAAAGCCACGGCUAACUACGUGCCAGCAGCCGCGGUAAUACGUAGGUGGCAAGCGUUAUCCGGAUUUAUUGGGCGUAAAGCGAGCGCAGGCGGUUUUUUAAGUCUGAUGUGAAAGCCCUCGGCUUAACCGAGGAAGUGCAUCGGAAACUGGGAAACUUGAGUGCAGAAGAGGACAGUGGAACUCCAUGUGUAGCGGUGAAAUGCGUAGAUAUAUGGAAGAACACCAGUGGCGAAGGCGGCUGUCUGGUCUGUAACUGACGCUGAGGCUCGAAAGCAUGGGUAGCGAACAGGAUUAGAUACCCUGGUAGUCCAUGCCGUAAACGAUGAAUGCUAGGUGUUGGAGGGUUUCCGCCCUUCAGUGCCGCAGCUAACGCAUUAAGCAUUCCGCCUGGGGAGUACGACCGCAAGGUUGAAACUCAAAGGAAUUGACGGGGGCCCGCACAAGCGGUGGAGCAUGUGGUUUAAUUCGAAGCAACGCGAAGAACCUUACCAGGUCUUGACAUCUUUUGAUCACCUGAGAGAUCAGGUUUCCCCUUCGGGGGCAAAAUGACAGGUGGUGCAUGGUUGUCGUCAGCUCGUGUCGUGAGAUGUUGGGUUAAGUCCCGCAACGAGCGCAACCCUUAUGACUAGUUGCCAGCAUUUAGUUGGGCACUCUAGUAAGACUGCCGGUGACAAACCGGAGGAAGGUGGGGAUGACGUCAAAUCAUCAUGCCCCUUAUGACCUGGGCUACACACGUGCUACAAUGGAUGGUACAACGAGUUGCGAGACCGCGAGGUCAAGCUAAUCUCUUAAAGCCAUUCUCAGUUCGGACUGUAGGCUGCAACUCGCCUACACGAAGUCGGAAUCGCUAGUAAUCGCGGAUCAGCACGCCGCGGUGAAUACGUUCCCGGGCCUUGUACACACCGCCCGUCACACCAUGAGAGUUUGUAACACCCGAAGCCGGUGGCGUAACCCUUUUA